GGCCUAAAAUUGAUACCGUGUCCUGCAGGUUGUACAAGGCCUCUGCUGCUGCAGACACCUCACACUGUGCUAUAAAUCCCUGUACUGCCUUUGCUGGGGAUGAUUUUUUCUCAUUUUGUGACAGGAGUGUGGCUGAUCAAAGAGCUCCGUCCCCUACUCGGCACAAGGCAGCUUUUUUCCCAACAAUUCUCCCAUUGGUCUGUGAUUUGUCUGGACAAUUAUUUUUAGAUGUGGUUAAACACUUCAGCAAAUGUCGUUUCUAGGCAACCUGCAAGGCUCUUAUGAGCUACCUUGCUUAAUUAUGACCUACUUUUGGUACCGUGUCCAAGUUUCUUAGUAUGUAUUGAGGCUGAUUGCUGGAUUGACCUGGAUAAUGGGAAGCAAGUGUUGGAGGUUCCAUUUAGAAAUCAAGUUUGUACCAACAUGACCCAAAGGUGUAAUUCUCUAAUGAUGCUUUAGCAACACUCUGGGUGUUUUCUGUGGACAAAUAAUGUUUUCCAUCUCAAAGUGGUUGAUUUUAUCUUGGGAGAUGCUACAUUUGAGUGACAAACUGAGUAUUGAUUUCACUUUACAACUUUUUGGAGCUAAAUACUGGUGCCCAGUGAUCUUCAGCAAUAGGUGCUGCAUUUCCUUGGAAGUUUUCCCAAACAACUGGGUUUGCAAACGAGGUACAUAACACCUCCUGCUGCUUGUAAACAGCCCUGGAUUCCUGUCCCCAGCAUGUGCUGGGUUGUUAUCUGCACUGAUGUCUGACAACUUGAACUGAAGCCUAAGGGGAGACUGCAGGUUUUGGAAUAUGGUUAGAUCUUCUUCCCUGCUUUUAUUUUUGUGCGUCAGUUCCACUGACUCAAGGCAGUGGCACCUGGAUGCUGUGGGAGAUGAAAGAAAAAACCUAUCAAGGAUGAAUAAAAUAUAAUUUGAGUUCUACCCCGAGGUAAUGAAUUCCUUCUCUCCGUUCUGCGAUUGUGCUUUGAGGGAGUUUUUCCAAAUCCAAAGGCUUCCAGUGCUGGUUGGAGCUAUUUCUGUAGUCAGCAUCAGCUGGAGAUGGCAUCCUUCAAGACCACUAGACUUCUUCAAAGAGUGAGUCAGGAGAUAAAAAGUCAGGGAGUUUAAGAAGUGGUUGAGUAAAUCAGAAGAACCUGAAAUCAAACGAACUUCUUUGACAAAAAGGAAACUCUUAAGAGGGUAAUUAGUCAGUGGUAGAUUGUACCCAACUUGAGGCAUUCUGGAUUAAAACAUGCCUGGUUUUAGAGGUCUGAAAGUGGAACUGAGCUGGGUUACUCCAAGCCAUCCCUUUAAAAAUCUCUGUUUUCUUGGUGUGGAGCUUUUAGGGCUCACAAACUCAGAGCAGGGAAUGACCUCGGCAUGAGAAGGAGGCAGGGAUGAAAGGACUUCCCUCCAGUCCUUCAAAUAUUUGUUUUCCACCUGGGAAUGUGCAUUGGGAAGGGAAUAGUUACAGCUUCUGGCCUUACCACUGGUCUGCCUCCACAGGGUGGUCAACUGGAAAUUUGAUUCCAAAAUAUUUCAACAGCAAGACUGUCAGGAAUCUUCUCUGCUUUUGUUUGUUUGGCUCUUGUUUUAGUGUAGGACUUUCUCAUGUUUUCAGUUACUUCUUUGUGAUGAGGCAAGAGUUGCCUUCAGAAUUGGGAUGCAUGACAAUGACUAAUUAAAAUAUUUUAAAUUUUACCAAUUUUUGCAAUUUCCUGUCGACUUAAUGGAAAACUAUAUAAGAAAUGGACAACUUCCAUGACAUUUUGAGAGGUUGGUUGUUUUAGUGCCAUUUCAGUAAUUAUUCAAGAUAAUGGAUUUGCUGACAACAGCAACAAAAAAAUUGUGCAUCACUUAACUUUAGUUGAAGAUGCUCCCUGCUCAUUGCAGUGAGUCUGGAAUAGACGACCUCUAAAUGUCCCUUCCAACCCAAACUAUUCUGUGAUUUUAUGAAAGUCCUUUUGUAACAUUGUUGGAAGCAGAGAUGGAUUCCGCCUGCUGAAACAGCCCAGCUGAGAAAUUCUGACUUCUGGGAAAAAGCAGGUUCCCUGUUCAAAUGAGACACACAGAGCUGGAGACACGUGGUUGAAAAGUGUCCCGGUGCAGCCACAUCUUGGAUUUCCUGCUGCAGAGCAGGAGGCCUGAUGAGGCAGGACAAUUAACCCAGGAAAUUGGGACAGGCUAUUUGGCUUUUGUUGAAGCCACGAAGAGUCAGGCUGUAGUUCUAAAACAAAGUGGAGGUUUUUCAAUUAUCA